GCCCCGCAAGGGGAGUGGCAGACGGGUGAGUAACGCGUGGGAACGUACCUUUCGCUUCGGAAUAGUCCCGGGAAACUGGGUUUAAUACCGAAUACGCCGUAUUGGGAAAGAUUUAUCGGCGAAAGAUCGGCCCGCGUUGGAUUAGCUAGUUGGUGGUGUAAGAGACCACCAAGGCGACGAUCCAUAGCUGGUCUGAGAGGAUGAUCAGCCACACUGGGACUGAGACACGGCCCAGACUCCUACGGGAGGCAGCAGUGGGGAAUCUUGGACAAUGGGCGCAAGCCUGAUCCAGCCAUGCCGCGUGAGUGAAGAAGGCCUUAGGGUUGUAAAACUCUUUCGCCGGUGAAGAUAAUGACGGUAGCCGGAGAAGAAGCCCCGGCUAACUUCGUGCCAGCAGCCGCGGUAAUACGAAGGGGGCUAGCGUUGUUCGGAAUUACUGGGCGUAAAGCGCACGUAGGCGGGUCUGUAAGUAGGGGGUGAAAUCCCAGGGCUCAACCCUGGAAUUGCCUUCUAGACUGCGGAUCUGGAGGUCAGGAGAGGCGAGUGGAAUACCG
rnacentral:rRNA from 1 species